AUGGCUUCAUCCGGUUCCAUGACGAGGCCGUCGUCUGUUGACCAUGAAGACAUGUCGAACAAGUUGGGGGACGCCAAAUUGGACGAGGUGAAGGAAAAAGAUCUGAAAACCCCAUCAUGUUGGUGUGGAGAUGUUUGCAAGGUGAAGGUGUCCACCGACCGCAAGAAGUCAUGGACGGAAGGCAGAAGAAUUUUUGUGUGUCCCAAUUAUGCACAUGAUCGGGCGCUUCCAACAAACACCUAUGACAUACAACCGGUAUGGUCAAAGAGUAAUCUCAUUUUUUGUCCAACUUCUACUCAUAAUGCUAACAGAAAAUUUGUUUUUCCUAUGCAGUCACCACCUCCUCUUUGCAAGUACUUCACCGAAUAG
rnacentral:rRNA from 1 species